GAUAACGAGUCUGCUUGCAGACGAAGUGAGUGAUACCCUGCUUCCAGGAAAAGCCACUAAGCUUCAGCUAUUGACGACCGACCGCAAACCGACACUGGUGCGCGAGAUGAGUAUUCUAAGGCGCUUGAGAGAACUCAGGAGAAGGAACUCGGCAAAUUGAUACCGUAACUUCGGGAGAAGGUAUGCCCCAAUUAGGUGAACCUGUACAAGGCAAGCCAAAAGGGGUUGCAAAAAAUCGGUGGCUGCGACUGUUUAAUAAAAACACAGCACUCUGCAAACACGAAAGUGGACGUAUAGGGUGUGACGCCUGCCCGGUGCUGGAAGAUUAAAUGAUGGGGUGCAAGCUCUUGAUUGAAGUCCCAGUAAACGGCGGCCGUAACAAUAACGGUCCUAAGGUAGCGAAAUUCCUUGUCGGGUAAGUUCCGACCUGCACGAAUGGCGUAACGAUGGCCACACUGUCUCCUCCUGAGACUCAGCGAAGUUGAAAUGUUUGUGAUGAUGCAAUCUCCCCGCGGAAAGACGGAAAGACCCCAUGAACCUUUACUGUAGCUUUGUAUUGGACUUUGAACGGAUCUGUGUAGGAUAGGUGGGAGGCUUUGAAGUGUGGUCGCUAGAUCACAUGGAGCCAACGUUGAAAUACCACCCUGGUGCGUUUGAGGUUCUAACCCAGGUCCCUUAUCGGGAUCGGGAACAGUGCAUGGUAGGCAGUUUGACUGGGGCGGUCUCCUCCCAAAGCGUAACGGAGGAGUUCGAAGGUACGCUAGUUACGGUCGGACAUCGUGACGAUAGUGCAAUGGCAUAAGCGUGCUUAACUGCGAGACUGACAAGUCGAGCAGAUGCGAAAGCAGGACAUAGUGAUCCGGUGGUUCUGUAUGGAAGGGCCAUCGCUCGACGGAUAAAAGGUACUCUGGGGAUAACAGGCUGAUACCGCCCAAGAGUUCAUAUCGACGGCGGUGUUUGGCACCUCGAUGUCGGCUCAUCUCAUCCUGGGGCUGUAGCCGGUACCAAGGGUAUGGCUGUUCGCCAUUUAAAGAGGUACGUGAGCUGGGUUUAAAACGUCGUGAGACAGUUUGGUCCCUAUCUUCCGUGGGCGCUGCAGAUUUGAGGAAGCCUGCUCCUAGUACGAGAGGACCGGAGUGGACACACCUCUGGUGUACCUGUUGUCACGCCAGUGGCAUCGCAGGGUAGCUAAGUGUGGAAGAGAUAACCGCUGAAAGCAUCUAAGCGGGAAACUCGUUUCAAGAUGAGAUCUGCCGGGGGCUUGACCCCCCUGAAGAGUCGUUCUAGACCAGGACGUUGAUAGGCUGGGUGUGUAAGCGCAGUAAUGCGUUCAGCUAACCAGUACUAAUUGCUCGUGCGGCUUGACCU
rnacentral:rRNA from 1 species